UAAUGAAACCUGGAUCCUUCCUGCAGAAAAAAAAAAGGAAUAAAAAAAGAAGGGGAGAGAGACAGAGAAAGAAGUCACAUCAAAUGAGAUUAACAUGUUUCAUGUAUAGUGGGAAAAAAAAUGCAGCAAUAAAAAAAUUGGAAAACUUCAUUUUUCUCUCAUCAAUGUUAUAAUAUCCGCAUAGGCGUGUUUCAGUGUGUAUCCAGUCAAAUUUCAUCGUAUUAUUGACCCAAUACAUUGAAACUGUUUAGAGCACACUUUAGAAUGUUUAAAUAAUUAUUUCCAUUUCUAGUGCGUGUGAAUACAUCUGAACACAUUCGGUAGAAAGGAAGGAAACUGCAUCUAGUAUGGGCCAGAUACAUUAAGUGGAGGAAAUGUGAUGCGGGGCUUGGACAACAAGACAGAACGUUUUUUUUUCUUUUUUAACUAAUUU
rnacentral:misc_RNA from 1 species